UACGUAGGGUGCGAGCGUUGUCCGGAAUUAUUGGGCGUAAAGGGCUCGUAGGCGGUUUGUCGCGUCGAGAGUGAAAACUCAGGGCUUAACCCUGAGCCUGCUUCCGAUACGGGCAGACUAGAGGUAUGCAGGGGAGAACGGAAUUCCUGGUGUAGCGGUGAAAUGCGCAGAUAUCAGGAGGAACACCGGUGGCGAAGGCGGUUCUCUGGGCAUUACCUGACGCUGAGGAGCGAAAGUGUGGGGAGCGAACAGG
rnacentral:rRNA from 1 species